GUUUUUUCUUGCAUGAGCUGUUGCACCUCUAGUUUGUUCUAUUGUGUCCUGGACAGUGAGGGGAAUUGAAGUAUUUUGUAGUUCAUGAUUUUCUGGUUUAAUAUGCAAAUCACUUAUACAUAUAUAUUUCACUUGUUCAAAUGUGGUAAUUAUCUUGGUUAAUAUGCACAGUGUCUCCUGUUUCACUCACUAACUUUGUAGUGUUUGAUUUGAUAUGUAUAGCAGAGAAGUGAAUGUAUGACGGUGAUGUCGAUUGUUGGCUGCCGGUGUGAACCAACAAAUAUGCCGAGACAACAGGCAGUUGAUGGAAGCAUCCAAGUUGAGCCAGGUGCAUUCACAUCACCUUAUCUUGUGCAGGCUAUGGAAAAAUACUUGGCUGUUCUUGCUGCUUUGAAAUCUAAUAUCUAACAGUCUUAAGAAGGGAAGAUUACGUAGAGAGCUACUUGGUGCUACCAUCAAAAUCAGCCUUGACGUGAUAGUUACCACAGGAGGACCCACAGGAAGAACAUGAAUAAUAGCCUCAAUAGCUUAUAUGUUAUGUUGAGUAAAAUGGGUUGUACUGGUUCCUAACCUUGCUGUGUGAUAUAUUGUCCAUCUAUGCUUGUAAGUUAUCACUUCAUAGAAGGAUUUUGUAAACUGCUAUGUUGUAUUUACAUAUGGAUGGCUGCAAACUGGAUCAACUGUGCAAUGUUCU